rnacentral:rRNA from 1 species
CACUAUCGUUAACUGAAUACAUAGGUUAACGAGGCGAACCGGGGGAACUGAAACAUCUAAGUACCCCGAGGAAAAGAAAUCAACCGAGAUUCCCCCAGUAGCGGCGAGCGAACGGGGAGCAGCCCAGAGUCUGAAUCAGCUUGUGUGUUAGUGGAACGGUCUGGAAAGUCCGACGGUACAGGGUGAUAGUCCCGUACACCAAAAUGCACAGGCUGUGAACUCGAAGAGUAGGGCGGGACACGUGGUAUCCUGUCUGAAUAUGGGGGGACCAUCCUCCAAGGCUAAAUACUCCUGACUGACCGAUAGUGAACCAGUACCGUGAGGGAAAGGCGAAAAGAACCCCGGCGAGGGGAGUGAAAAAGAACCUGAAACCGUGUACGUACAAGCAGUGGGAGCACCUUCGGGUGUGACUGCGUACCUUUUGUAUAAUGGGUCAGCGACUUAUAUUCUGUAGCAAGGUUAACCGUAUAGGGGAGCCGCAGGGAAACCGAGUCUUAACUGGGCGUUAAGUUGCAGGGUAUAGACCCGAAACCCGGUGAUCUAGCCAUGGGCAGGUUGAAGGUUGGGUAACACUAACUGGAGGACCGAACCGACUAAUGUUGAAAAAUUAGCGGAUGACUUGUGGCUGGGGGUGAAAGGCCAAUCAAACCGGGAGAUAGCUGGUUCUCCCCGAAAGCUAUUUAGGUAGCGCCUCGUGAAUUCAUCUUCGGGGGUAGAGCACUGUUUCGGCUAGGGGGUCAUCCCGACUUACCAACCCGAUGCAAACUACGAAUACCGAAGAAUGUUAUCACGGGAGACACACGGCGGGUGCUAACGUCCGUCGUGAAGAGGGAAACAACCCAGACCGCCAGCUAAGGUCCCAAAGUCAUGGUUAAGUGGGAAACGAUGUGGGAAGGCACAGACAGCCAGGAUGUUGGCUUAGAAGCAGCCAUCAUUUAAAGAAAGCGUAAUAGCUCACUGGUCGAGUCGGCCUGCGCGGAAGAUGUAACGGGGCUAAACCAUGCACCGAAGCUGCGGCAGCGACACUAUGUGUUGUUGGGUAGGGGAGCGUUCUGUAAGCCUGCGAAGGUGACCUGUGAGGGUUGCUGGAGGUAUCAGAAGUGCGAAUGCUGACAUAAGUAACGAUAAAGCGGGUGAAAAGCCCGCUCGCCGGAAGACCAAGGGUUCCUGUCCAACGUUAAUCGGGGCAGGGUGAGUCGACCCCUAAGGCGAGGCCGAAAGGCGUAGUCGAUGGGAAACAGGUUAAUAUUCCUGUACUUGGUGUUACUGCGAAGGGGGGACGGAGAAGGCUAUGUUAGCCGGGCGACGGUUGUCCCGGUUUAAGCAUGUAGGCUGAUUGUCCAGGCAAAUCCGGAUAAUCAAGGCUGAGGUGUGAUGACGAGGCACUACGGUGCUGAAGUAACAAAUGCCCUGCUUCCAGGAAAAGCCUCUAAGCAUCAGGUAACAUCAAAUCGUACCCCAAACCGACACAGGUGGUCAGGUAGAGAAUACCAAGGCGCUUGAGAGAACUCGGGUGAAGGAACUAGGCAAAAUGGUGCCGUAACUUCGGGAGAAGGCACGCUGGUGUGUAGGUGAAGUCCCUGCGGAUGGAGCUGAGACCAGUCGAAGAUACCAGCUGGCUGCAACUGUUUAUUAAAAACACAGCACUGUGCAAACACGAAAGUGGACGUAUACGGUGUGACGCCUGCCCGGUGCCGGAAGGUUAAUUGAUGGGGUUAUCCGUAAGGAGAAGCUCUUGAUCGAAGCCCCGGUAAACGGCGGCCGUAACUAUAACGGUCCUAAGGUAGCGAAAUUCCUUGUCGGGUAAGUUCCGACCUGCACGAAUGGCGUAAUGAUGGCCAGGCUGUCUCCACCCGAGACUCAGUGAAAUUGAACUCGCUGUGAAGAUGCAGUGUACCCGCGGCAAGACGGAAAGACCCCGUGAACCUUUACUAUAGCUUGACACUGAACAUUGAGCCUUGAUGUGUAGGAUAGGUGGGAGGCUUUGAAGCGUGGACGCCAGUCUGCGUGGAGCCAACCUUGAAAUACCACCCUUUAAUGUUUGAUGUUCUAACGUUGGCCCCUGACCGGGGUUGCGGACAGUGUCUGGUGGGUAGUUUGACUGGGGCGGUCUCCUCCCAAAGCGUAACGGAGGAGCACGAAGGUUAGCUAAUCCUGGUCGGACAUCAGGAGGUUAGUGCAAUGGCAUAAGCUAGCUUGACUGCGAGCGUGACGGCGCGAGCAGGUGCGAAAGCAGGUCAUAGUGAUCCGGUGGUUCUGAAUGGAAGGGCCAUCGCUCAACGGAUAAAAGGUACUCCGGGGAUAACAGGCUGAUACCGCCCAAGAGUUCAUAUCGACGGCGGUGUUUGGCACCUCGAUGUCGGCUCAUCACAUCCUGGGGCUGAAGUAGGUCCCAAGGGUAUGGCUGUUCGCCAUUUAAAGUGGUACGCGAGCUGGGUUUAGAACGUCGUGAGACAGUUCGGUCCCUAUCUGCCGUGGGCGCUGGAGAAUUGAGGGGGGCUGCUCCUAGUACGAGAGGACCGGAGUGGACGCAUCACUGGUGUUCGGGUUGUCAUGCCAAUGGCACUGCCCGGUAGCUAAAUGCGGAAGAGAUAAGUGCUGAAAGCAUCUAAGCACGAAACUUGCCCCGAGAUGAGUUCUCCCUGAGACUUUAAGUCUCCUGAAGGAACGUUAAAGACGAUGACGUUGAUAGGCCGGGUGUGUAAGCGCAGCGAUGCGUUGAGCUAACCGGUACUAAUGAACCGUGAGGCUUAACCUU